UUUUCCCCCAUCUAUUUCUCCUCUGACCAUCUCCCCAUUCUUCUGCCGCAGCGAGCAGGAGAUCGGCCGCCAUGGUGAAAUACUCGAGAGAGCCCGACAAUUCCACCAAGUCUUGCAAGGCGAGGGGAUCUGAUCUCAGGGUUCACUUCAAGAACACUAGGGAAACAGCACAUGCCAUUAGGAAGCUCCCCUUGACAAAGGCCAAGAGGUACCUAGAAGAUGUGAUAGCUCACAAACAAGCCAUUCCCUUCACUCGU